rnacentral:rRNA from 1 species
GACGAACGCUGGCGGCGUGCUUAACACAUGCAAGUCGAACGGAAAGGCCCUGCUUUUGUGGGGUGCUCGAGUGGCGAACGGGUGAGUAACACGUGAGUAACCUGCCCUUGACUUUGGGAUAACUUCAGGAAACUGGGGCUAAUACCGGAUAGGAGCUCCUGCUGCAUGGUGGGGGUUGGAAAGUUUCGGCGGUUAGGGAUGGACUCGCGGCUUAUCAGCUUGUUGGUGAGGUAGUGGCUUACCAAGGCUUUGACGGGUAGCCGGCCUGAGAGGGUGACCGGCCACAUUGGGACUGAGAUACGGCCCAGACUCCUACGGGAGGCAGCAGUGGGGAAUAUUGCACAAUGGGCGGAAGCCUGAUGCAGCAACGCCGCGUGCGGGAUGACGGCCUUCGGGUUGUAAACCGCUUUCGCCUGUGACGAAGCGUGAGUGACGGUAAUGGGUAAAGAAGCACCGGCUAACUACGUG